AACGAACGCUGGCGGCAGGCUUAACACAUGCAAGUCGAACGCCCCGCAAGGGGAGUGGCAGACGGGUGAGUAACGCGUGGGAAUCUACCUAGUUCUACGGAACAACUGAGGGAAACUUCAGCUAAUACCGUAUACGCCCUAAGGGGGAAAGAUUUAUCGGAAUUAGAUGAGCCCGCGUUGGAUUAGCUAGUUGGUGGGGUAAUGGCCUACCAAGGCGACGAUCUAUAGCUGGUCUGAGAGGAUGAUCAGCCACACUGGGACUGAGGCACGGCCCAGACUCCUACGGGAGGCAGCAGUGGGGAAUAUUGGACAAUGGGCGCAAGCCUGAUCCAGCCAUGCCGCGUGAGUGAUGAAGGCCUUAGGGUUGUAAAGCUCUUUCAGUGGGGACGAUAAUGACGGUACCCACAGAAGAAGCCCCGGCUAACUUCGUGCCAGCAGCCGCGGUAAGAC
rnacentral:rRNA from 1 species